rnacentral:sRNA from 1 species
GUGCAUACAAGGAAUAAGUCCCUAUCUUUCCACAGAACAAGUAUAUCAUGGACAGUGCACGCUUCUUCAUGUUGUCUCACCAAUCUGACUCACCCCUAGCAUUGAGACCACCUCUGGGGUGAAAGGGUAGUUAAAGUCUCCCAACCCCAUUCAGUCCUUAGUCUCC